UACAGAGGUCUCAAGCGUUGUUCGGAUUCAUUGGGCGUAAAGGGUGCGUAGGUGGCGCGUAAGUCGGGUGUGAAAAUUUCGGAGCUUAACUCCGAAACUGCAUUCGAUACUGCCUGUGCUUGAGGACUGGAGAGGAGACUGGAAUUACGGUGUAGCAGUGAAAUGCGUAGAGAUCGUAAGGAAGACCAGUGGCGAAGGCGGGGUCUCUGGACAGUUCCUGACACUGAGGCACGAAGGCCAGGGGGAGCAAAACCGGGAUUAGAACCUCCAGUCAGACCAAGCCA
rnacentral:rRNA from 1 species